GACGAACGCUGGCGGCGUGCUUAACACAUGCAAGUCGAACGGAAAGGCCCUGCUUUUGUGGGGUGCUCGAGUGGCGAACGGGUGAGUAACACGUGAGUAACCUGCCCUUGACUUUGGGAUAACUUCAGGAAACUGGGGCUAAUACCGGAUAGGAGCUCCUGCUGCAUGGUGGGGGUUGGAAAGUUUCGGCGGUUGGGGAUGGACUCGCGGCUUAUCAGCUUGUUGGUGGGGUAGUGGCUUACCAAGGCUUUGACGGGUAGCCGGCCUGAGAGGGUGACCGGCCACAUUGGGACUGAGAUACGGCCCAGACUCCUACGGGAGGCAGCAGUGGGGAAUAUUGCACAAUGGGCGGAAGCCUGAUGCAGCAACGCCGCGUGCGGGAUGACGGCCUUCGGGUUGUAAACCGCUUUCGCCUGUGACGAAGCGUGAGUGACGGUAAUGGGUAAAGAAGCACCGGCUAACUACGUGCCAGCAGCCGCGGUGAUACGUAGGGUACGAGCGUUGUCCGGAUUUAUUGGGCGUAAAGGGCUCGUAGGUGGUUGAUCGCGUCGGAAGUGUAAUCUUGGGGCUUAACCCUGAGCGUGCUUUCGAUACGGGUUGACUUGAGGAAGGUAGGGGAGAAUGGAAUUCCUGGUGGAGCGGUGGAAUGCGCAGAUAUCAGGAGGAACACCAGUGGCGAAGGCGGUUCUCUGGGCCUUUCCUGACGCUGAGGAGCGAAAGCGUGGGGAGCGAACAGGCUUAGAUACCCUGGUAGUCCACGCUGUAAACGGUGGGUACUAGGUGUGGGGUCCAUUCCACGGGUUCCGUGCCGUAGCUAACGCUUUAAGUACCCCGCCUGGGGAGUACGGCCGCAAGGCUAAAACUCAAAGGAAUUGACGGGGCCCCGCACAAGCGGCGGAGCAUGCGGAUUAAUUCGAUGCAACGCGUAGAACCUUACCUGGGUUUGACAUGGAUCGGGAGUGCUCAGAGAUGGGUGUGCCUCUUUUGGGGUCGGUUCACAGGUGGUGCAUGGCUGUCGUCAGCUCGUGUCGUGAGAUGUUGGGUUAAGUCCCGCAACGAGCGCAACCCUUGUUCACUGUUGCCAGCACGUUAUGGUGGGGACUCAGUGGAGACCGCCGGGGUCAACUCGGAGGAAGGUGGGGAUGACGUCAAGUCAUCAUGCCCCUUAUGUCCAGGGCUUCACGCAUGCUACAAUGGCUGGUACAGAGAGUGGCGAGCCUGUGAGGGUGAGUGAAUCUCGGAAAGCCGGUCUCAGUUCGGAUUGGGGUCUGCAACUCGACCUCAUGAAGUCGGAGUCGCUAGUAAUCGCAGAUCAGCAACGCUGCGGUGAAUACGUUCCCGGGGCU
rnacentral:rRNA from 1 species